GACGAACGCUGGCGGCGUGCUUAAUACAUGCAAGUCGAGCGAAAAGACGCGGAGCUUGUUCCUUUGUCGAUUGCGGCGGACGGGUGAGUCACACGAGGAACAUCCCCCUAUCAGUCUGGGAACACUUCGGGACUCCGGCGCUAAUACCGGAUGAUCUCUUGAACCGCAUGGUUCAAUAGUGAAAGACGGCUUUGCUGUAUGUUCUCGCUGGAUCUGCGCCGGAUUGGCUAGUUGGGACGGUAACGGGUUAUCAAGGCGACGAUGCGUAGCCGACGUGAGAGAGGGAUCGGCCACACUGGAACGUGGACGCGGACCAGACGCCUGCGGGAGGCAGCAGUAGGGAACCUGCCGCAAUGGUCGAGAGCCUUACAGAGCAAGGGCACGUGAGAUAUGAAGGUCUUCGGAGCGUAAAACUCUGUUAUGAGGUAAGAACAAAUUUGGAAGUAACUAUGCACGGCGUGACGGUACCUAAUCAGAAAGCAACGGCUAACUACGUG
rnacentral:rRNA from 1 species